rnacentral:rRNA from 1 species
GAUGAACGCUAGCUACAGGCUUAACGCAUGCAAGUCGAGGGGCAGCAUGAACAAAGCUUGCUUUGUUUGAUGGCGACCGGCGCACGGGUGCGUAACACGUAUCCAAUCUGCCCGCGGCUCGGGGAUAGCCCAUCGAAAGAUGGAUUAAUACCCGAUGGCGUGGCCACUCCGCAUGGGGUUUCCUCCAAAGGUUUUCCGGCCGCGGUUGAGGAUGCGUAUGAUUAGGUAGUAGGCGGGGUAACGGCCCACCUAGCCUUCGAUCAUUAGGGGUUCUGAGAGGAAGGUCCCCCACACUGGAACUGAGACACGGUCCAGACUCCUACGGGAGGCAGCAGUGAGGAAUAUUGGUCAAUGGGCGAGAGCCUGAACCAGCCAAGUAGCGUGAAGGAAGACUGCCCUAUGGGUUGUAAACUUCUUUUGUUCGGGAAUAAAGUGCAGUAUGUAUACUGUUUUGUAUGUACCGUUCGAAUAAGCAUCGGCUAAUUCCGUGCCAGCAGCCGCCGUAAAAC